rnacentral:rRNA from 1 species
GACAGAGGGUGCGAACGUUGUUCGGAAUUACUGGGCGUAAAGCGCGUGUAGGCGGCAGCGUAAGUCGGGCGUGAAAUCCCACGGCUCAACCGUGGAAGUGCACUCGAAACUGCGCAGCUAGAGUCCUGGAGAGGAAGGUGGAAUGCUUGGUGUAGAGGUGAAAUUCGUAGAUAUCAAGCGGAACACCGGUGGCGAAGGCGGCCUUCUGGACAGUGACCGACGCUGAGACGCGAAAGCGUGGGGAGCAAACAGG